rnacentral:lncRNA from 1 species
GCAAAUUACGUAUUUCUGCUCAUAAGCUUCAAAUUGAAGUUGGACGUUUUUCAAAUAUUCCACGAAAUGAAAGAAUUUGCAAAAAAUGCUCCUCUGGCUGUGUUGAAGAUGAAAUCCAUUUUUAACUAACUGUGAAAAUUCUAAAUCAGAUAGAGAUGCUCUCUUUGACUUUGUUUGCCAAAGAAUUCCAAAUUUUUCUUUACUGGAUAAUCAGCAUAAAUUUAUUUAUUUAUUAAACUGUGAAGACAAUCAGGUCCUUAAUGCUGUUGGUAAAUUUAUUAAAGUGAAUAUGAGUUAGUAAUUGUAUUGUUACUGUAUGUAAAAUAAUGUUUGUAUCUACAUUGUAUGUAUCUAUCAAAUUAAUAUUCUUUUUCCUUAUUCAUGUAUGCUCUGUAUGCCCCUUGUGGGCCCUUAAUUGGAAAUAAAAUAUGUUCUGUUCUGUUCAUUCCGAUAAAUAUUUUUU